CAGAGGCAGCGUGAGCAGACAGACACAAAGGCCGAGCAGAUGUGUCAUCAAAGCCAUAAAAACAUCUACUGCACUCUCCCUGAAGCUGUGAUCCCAAACAAUGUGGAAGUUGGGGUGCACACCCCAGGGGUUAGUCUGGGUCAUUUUUGAAAGAAAUGGAAGCACACUGGGUAUAAGUUCCUCUCAACAUAGAAACAAUGCCAACACUACUCCUUUAGAAAAGGAAUGUUAGUCCUUUUUGUUUAUCGUCACAAAACCUUCAAACAAGUCUUCCAAAUGGUGGAAAGCACCCUGAGGCCACAGAGCUGCUGGGCACAGCCCCUGGAUACAAGGGCAGUUGGUUGUCCCCGUCCACUGGCUGCUCCUGACCCCAGUCAGCCCACUGGGGAGCAUCCUUUGGUGAGAACA